rnacentral:rRNA from 1 species
GGUUAAGCGACUAAGCGUACACGGUGGAUGCCCUGGCAGUCAGAGGCGAUGAAGGACGUGCUAAUCUGCGAAAAGCGUCGGUAAGGUGAUAUGAACCGUUAUAACCGGCGAUGUCCGAAUGGGGAAACCCAGUGCAAUUCGUUGCACUAUCGUUAACUGAAUACAUAGGUUAACGAGGCGAACCGGGGGAACUGAAACAUCUAAGUACCCCGAGGAAAAGAAAUCAACCGAGAUUCCCCCAGUAGCGGCGAGCGAACGGGGAGCAGCCCGGAGUCUGAAUCAGCUUGUGUGUUAGUGGAAGCGUCUGGAAAGUCGCAGGGUACAGGGUGAUACUCCCGUACACUAAAACACACAGGCUGUGAACUCGAAGAGUAGGGCGGGACACGUGGUAUCCUGUCUGAAUAUGGGGGGACCAUCCUCCAAGGCUAAAUACUCCUGACUGACCGAUAGUGAACCAGUACCGUGAGGGAAAGGCGAAAAGAACCCCGGCGAGGGGAGUGAAAAAGAACCUGAAACCGUGUACGUACAAGCAGUAGGAGCCCACUUGUUGGGUGACUGCGUACCUUUUGUAUAAUGGGUCAGCGACUUAUAUUCUGUAGCAAGGUUAACCGUAUAGGGGAGCCGCAGGGAAACCGAGUCUUAACUGGGCGUUAAGUUGCAGGGUAUAGACCCGAAACCCGGUGAUCUAGCCAUGGGCAGGUUGAAGGUUGGGUAACACUAACUGGAGGACCGAACCGACUAAUGUUGAAAAAUUAGCGGAUGACUUGUGGCUGGGGGUGAAAGGCCAAUCAAACCGGGAGAUAGCUGGUUCUCCCCGAAAGCUAUUUAGGUAGCGCCUCGUGAAUUCAUCUUCGGGGGUAGAGCACUGUUUCGGCUAGGGGGUCAUCCCGACUUACCAACCCGAUGCAAACUACGAAUACCGAAGAAUGUUAUCACGGGAGACACACGGCGGGUGCUAACGUCCGUCGUGAAGAGGGAAACAACCCAGACCGCCAGCUAAGGUCCCAAAGUCAUGGUUAAGUGGGAAACGAUGUGGGAAGGCCCAGACAGCCAGGAUGUUGGCUUAGAAGCAGCCAUCAUUUAAAGAAAGCGUAAUAGCUCACUGGUCGAGUCGGCCUGCGCGGAAGAUGUAACGGGGCUAAACCAUGCACCGAAGCUGCGGCAGCGACACUAUGUGUUGUUGGGUAGGGGAGCGUUCUGUAAGCCGUUGAAGGUGGCCUGUGAGGGUUGCUGGAGGUAUCAGAAGUGCGAAUGCUGACAUAAGUAACGAUAAUGCGGGUGAAAAACCCGCACGCCGGAAGACCAAGGGUUCCUGUCCAACGUUAAUCGGGGCAGGGUGAGUCGACCCCUAAGGCGAGGCCGAAAGGCGUAGUCGAUGGGAAACAGGUUAAUAUUCCUGUACUUGGUGUUACUGCGAAGGGGGGACGGAGAAGGCUAUGUUGGCCGGGCGACGGUUGUCCCGGUUUAAGCAUGUAGGCGGAUGUUCCAGGUAAAUCCGGAACGUCACUAACGCUGAGGUGUGAUGACGAGGCACUACGGUGCUGAAGUGACAAAUGCCCUGCUUCCAGGAAAAGCCUCUAAGCAUCAGGUAACAUCAAAUCGUACCCCAAACCGACACAGGUGGUCAGGUAGAGAAUACCAAGGCGCUUGAGAGAACUCGGGUGAAGGAACUAGGCAAAAUGGUGCCGUAACUUCGGGAGAAGGCACGCUGAUGGUAAGUGAAGUGACUUGCUCAUGGAGCUGAAAUCAGUCGAAGAUACCAGCUGGCUGCAACUGUUUAUUAAAAACACAGCACUGUGCAAACACGAAAGUGGACGUAUACGGUGUGACGCCUGCCCGGUGCCGGAAGGUUAAUUGAUGGGGUUAUCCUCGCGGAGAAGCUCUUGAUCGAAGCCCCGGUAAACGGCGGCCGUAACUAUAACGGUCCUAAGGUAGCGAAAUUCCUUGUCGGGUAAGUUCCGACCUGCACGAAUGGCGUAAUGAUGGCCAGGCUGUCUCCACCCGAGACUCAGUGAAAUUGAACUCGCUGUGAAGAUGCAGUGUACCCGCGGCAAGACGGAAAGACCCCGUGAACCUUUACUAUAGCUUGACACUGAACACUGGUCCUUGAUGUGUAGGAUAGGUGGGAGGCUUUGAAGUGUGGACGCCAGUCUGCAUGGAGCCAUCCUUGAAAUACCACCCUUUAAUGGCUGGUGUUCUAACGUGGGCCCCUAAUCGGGGUUGCGGACAGUGUCUGGUGGGUAGUUUGACUGGGGCGGUCUCCUCCUAAAGAGUAACGGAGGAGCACGAAGGUCAGCUAAUCCUGGUCGGACAUCAGGAGGUUAGUGCAAUGGCAUAAGCUGGCUUGACUGCGAGCGUGACGGCGCGAGCAGGUGCGAAAGCAGGUCAUAGUGAUCCGGUGGUUCUGAAUGGAAGGGCCAUCGCUCAACGGAUAAAAGGUACUCCGGGGAUAACAGGCUGAUACCGCCCAAGAGUUCAUAUCGACGGCGGUGUUUGGCACCUCGAUGUCGGCUCAUCACAUCCUGGGGCUGAAGUAGGUCCCAAGGGUAUGGCUGUUCGCCAUUUAAAGUGGUACGCGAGCUGGGUUUAGAACGUCGUGAGACAGUUCGGUCCCUAUCUGCCGUGGGCGCUGGAGAAUUGAGGGGGGCUGCUCCUAGUACGAGAGGACCGGAGUGGACGCAUCACUGGUGUUCGGGUUGUCAUGCCAAUGGCAUUGCCCGGUAGCUAAAUGCGGAAGAGAUAAGUGCUGAAAGCAUCUAAGCACGAAACUUGCCCCGAGAUGAGUUCUCCCUGACUCCUUGAGGGUCCUGAAGGAACGUUGAAGACGACGACGUUGAUAGGCCGGGUGUGUAAGCGCAGCGAUGCGUUGAGCUAACCGGUACUAAUGAACCGUGAGGCUUAACCUU